rnacentral:rRNA from 1 species
UACGUAGGUGGCGAGCGUUGUCCGGAUUUAUUGGGCGUAAAGAGCUCGUAGGCGGCUCGUUGCGUCGGCUGUGAAAACCCGCAGCUCAACUGUGGGCUUGCAGCCGAUACGGGCGGGCUGGAGUUCGGUAGGGGAGACUGGAAUUCCUGGUGUAGCGGUGAAAUGCGCAGAUAUCAGGAGGAACACCGGUGGCGAAGGCGGGUCUCUGGGCCGAUACUGACGCUGAGGAGCGAAAGCGUGGGGAGCGAACAGG